GGGGCUGUAGCUCAGUUGGCUAGAGCGCUUGCAUGGCAUGCAAGAGGCCAGGGGUUCAAGUCCCCUCAGCUCCACCA
rnacentral:tRNA from 1 species